rnacentral:rRNA from 1 species
GACGAACGCUGGCGGCGUGCUUAACACAUGCAAGUCGAACGAAGUGGCGAACGGGUGAGUAAUACGUGGGUAACCUGCCCUCCUUUUUGGGAUAAGCCUUGGAAACGGGGUCUAAUACCGAAUAAAGGGGGAUGGGCUCGCGGCCUAUCAGCUUGUUGGUGGGGUGAUGGCCUACCAAGGCGGUGACGGGUAGCCGGCCUGCGGGGGUGACCGGCCACAUUGGGACUGAGAUACGGCCCAGACUCCGACGGGAGGCAGCAGUGGGUGAUAUUGCACAAUGGGCGAAAGCCUGAUGCAGCGACGCCGCGUGUGGUAUGAAGGCUUUCGGGUUGUAAAGCACUUUUGGCAGGAAAGCGGUACCUGCAGAAUAAGCACCGGCUAACUACGUGCCAGCCGCCGCGGUAAUAC